AGCGUGCAAUUGAUUUGAAAGCAUCUACAACUUUUUGUUCGUGUAACUUUCUUUAGGUCGUUAUUUGUCUUCUUGUAUUAUAGUACUAAGCACUCAAGAUUAAGACGGGAUUGUUUUAUUUUUCCAUGUUAUCGCAAGAUUGAGGUUGUAGAUAGACUGUAUUUUGAUUUUCCACACUGAUUGUGACUUGUGAGCGGUGAAAGCUCAACUUUUGUUCUUCAUAAAUCUUGAACAUUAUCUGCGU
rnacentral:lncRNA from 1 species